AUUGAACGCUGGCGGCAGGCCUAACACAUGCAAGUCGAACGAGUGGCGGACGGGUGAGUAAUGUCUGGGAAACUGCCCGAUGGAGGGGGAUAACUAAUGGAAACGGUAGCUAAUACCGCAUACCAUCGGAUGUGCCCAGAUGGGAUUAGCUAGUAGGUGGGGUAAAUGCUCACCUAGGCGACGAUCCCUACCUGGUCUGAGAGGAUGACCAGCCACACUGGAACUGAGACACGGUCCAGACUCCUCCGGGAGUCAGCAGUGGGGAAUAUUGCACAAUUGGCGCAAGCCUGAUGCAGCCAUGCCGCGUGUAUGAAUAAGGCCUUCGGGUUGUAAAGUACUUUCAGCGGGGAGGCGUUACCCGCAGAAGAAGCACCGGCUAACUCCGUGCCAGCAGCCGCGGUAAUAC
rnacentral:rRNA from 1 species